GAUGAACGCUGGCGGCGUGCCUAAUACAUGCAAGUCGAGCGAACAGACGAGGAGCUUGCUCCUCUGACGUUAGCGGCGGACGGGUGAGUAACACGUGGAUAACCUACCUAUAAGACUGGGAUAACUUCGGGAAACCGGAGCUAAUACCGGAUAAUAUAUUGAACCGCAUGGUUCAAUAGUGAAAGACGGUUUUGCUGUCACUUAUAGAUGGAUCCGCGCCGCAUUAGCUAGUUGGUAAGGUAACGGCUUACCAAGGCAACGAUGGGUAGCCGACCUGAGAGGGUGAUCGGCCACACUGGAACUGAGACACGGUCCAGACUCCUACGGGAGGCAGCAGUAGGGAAUCUUCCGCAAUGGGCGAAAGCCUGACGGAGCAACGCCGCGUGAGUGAUGAAGGUCUUCGGAUCGUAAAACUCUGUUAUUAGGGAAGACCAAAUGUGUAAGUAACUAUGCACGUCUUGACGGUACCUAAUCAGAAAGCCCCGGCUAACUACGUG
rnacentral:rRNA from 1 species